rnacentral:miRNA from 1 species
GAUGCUGAGGUUCAAACUGUAU